UACAGAGGGGGCAAGCGUUAUUCGGAAUUAUUGGGCGUAAAGGGCGCGUAGGCGGCUAUUCAAGUGGCGGGUGAAAUCCCUCGGCUUAACCGAGGAACUGCCUGCCAGACUGGAUGGCUUGAGACCGGGAGAGGUGAGUGGAAUUCCCAGUGUAGCGGUGAAAUGCGUAGAUAUCGGGAGGAACACCAGUGGCGAAGGCGGCUUUCUGGCCUGUUCUUGACGCUGAGGCGCGAAAGCCAGGGGAGCAAACGGG
rnacentral:rRNA from 1 species